UAAGAGUUUCACCUUCCCCUAACUAUUAAUAUUUAGCCAAACAUUUUUUUAAUAAAGGAAAUUACUAAAAUUGAAAAACACAUAAUUAAAAAUGGAAUUUGAAAAUUGAAAUAAAACUAAUUUAUUGAUUGAAAAUAAAUUACAAAAAGAGAUGAGAAGAAGAAUUUGGGGGGAAAGAAGAGAAGAGAAGGUGUGGAGGGGUGUGUUCACCCCCCUCCCCUCUAUUUAUACUAAUACAUGGUAAAUCCACACCACACAAAUAAAAAAAUAUAAUUACAUCUUAACCUUACAUUUGUCCCACUAAUAAUCCCACUAAUAAAACAUAAACCUAACUUAUCCACUCAAGCAUAUCCAACACAUUCCACUAACAAUUACCAUACCUAAUAUGGUAAAAACUUAUAAUUUUACAAUUAUUACAUUUAGCGUGGUAAAAACGUAAAAAUUUACAACAAAAGUCUUGGAUCCUCCUCGACAAUGACUUAAUUUCUCGGACUUUCGGAAUCCAAAUUUGACAUCCAUACAUUUGUUCGGAACCUCAAAUUGCAUGAAAUUAUUAUUUUUACCUAAUAAACACACAAAAAUACACAAAAUCAAAUAUUUAGAAAAAUAAUUAGAAAUUCACAAUGAGUUACACAAUUACAAAUAUAAAUUACAUUAAUAGCACAAAAUAACAUUUUUAUCCCUUAGUAAACAUACAAUUUUUAACACUAACACACCCCCCAACUAGCUUAUUGCUAGCACCUAGCAAUUAAAGCGUUAUAUUAAAUUAAGAUUUACAAAAUUCACAUGCAAGUUAAUAGUUGUUCAUCUAUCCUCUAAACUACCAAAUAAAUAAACUCUCCCAAUUUUAUUUUUUUUUUAACUCUUGGUCAUCCACUCAUUAUCCAGAAUAUCAUAAAUCUUCUUUUGUGCUCAAGUAAGUAACACAAUACUUAUGGAGUUUCAUUAAAAAAAAACAACAUUUUCGUUCUAAAACUCAUUAGAAAUUCUAUCUUCAGGCAGUAGAUUAUUCAAGCUCUUUUUUUUUUUUUACAAAAAUAUUGCGAUUUUAACCAAUGUAGUGAGCUUUAGGCCAGUGACUCCCAGACCAGUUGAUCUUAGGGCACUAGGUGUUGAAACACCCCUACAGACUUAAUUACUCGGGUUUUUAAUAAAUAAGCAAACAAUAUAUCUAUAACACAUGUAACGAGCUUUAGGUCAGUGACUCUCAGAUCAGUUGACCUUAGGGUACUAGGUGUUGAAACACCUGUACGGACUUAAUUACUCGGGUUCUAGAUAUAACAAAAUUAAACUCAUUUAAUUUUUUCUUUUUUUUCACCUUUUUUUUUGGAAUAUACACUUUCUACUACCUUAGAUAUUAUCCCUAAUAAAUUAAAAGAACUAAAUGCUGCAAAAAUUUGAACUUACAACCCACUAGUAUGUGUCAUAGUGUGUGUGUGAAGAAUGAUUUAAUAAUACUUGUUAAAUGAGUAAACAACAAAAUAACUUUAUAACUAAAUGGAGGAGAGUUCACAAAUUUGAGUAAUUCAAAGAAAAGGGAACAAAAACAACUUAUUAUGAAUUUUAAAAUCAAAAUAUAAUACAACAAGACUAUUAGGAUGCGUCUAAAAAAUUGUGACUCUUUACACAGCCAUCCUAGACACAAACAAAUUGUUGUUUUUGGUUUUUUUUUUAAAUAAACACACUUAUUUACAAUUUACAUCAACUACCCUCCCCCCAACCUAAUCUAAACAUAAUUCAUAAUUUAAAAAUAUGCAUGCAAAAAGAAAAAUUAAAUAAUAAAAGAAGAAACAGGAAAGAUCACACCUGAACAAGCCGCUGAAGAUGCGUUUCUAGAGUUGCUACACCCUAUAUUUUGUCAUCUUCGACAAAAGCAUUGCUAGGAUUUGCUAUAUUCCACAGUUGUCAACUAUUCCNNNNNNNNNNNNNNNNNNNNNNNNNNNNNNNNNNNNNNNNNNNNNNNNNNNNNNNNNNNNNNNNNNNNNNNNNNNNNNNNNNNNNNNNNNNNNNNNNNNNCCCAACCUGAACAAGACAUUAUCCUCAAUGACUUAAAGGAAAGAAGUAGAGUUUAGAAGACAUAACCUCAUAGCUCUGAGAAGAUAGUUACAACCGAAGAGUUACUUCCAACUUGUACUUCUUACUAGGGUUAGGGUUACCAUCAUUAGUCGACUAUUCCAAUGCCAAUAUCUUAGGAUCUCGCUCUGGUUUGUAAGCUUGUAAAAGAUCAAGUAACUCAUUAGCAAUAGAAGCACAAAGAAAGAGAUUUGUCGUAGAGAUUGGAAUAAAAUGAUUCUUAAUUGCAUGGUUAAUGAAUGUGAGCAACCCAUCAAAAAAAUUAUUAACAUUUAGUAAAUCAAUGGGUUUUUUAUGGAUGUUUAAAUGGGCUCAAGAUGCAAAUGUAAUCAAUGCCUCUAAAGUUGCAAGAUCUCCUUGCAAGAAAAUGAAAGCGUCAGCAUGAGUUAACAUCUCAGUUAUUCGCUCUUGCAUACUUGAGACAACUAACUCUUCUCCAAUUGGUACAUCAGACCUGCAUCCCAGAGGUUUUAAGGUUUAUGGAAUGAUACCUAGUACCUGGUUUUCUCUAAUAAAAACAGCUUAUGAGACAAGUUUUGAUAACCCGCGGUCACCUCCUCUAUAUACAAGGUGCAGUUUCCUCUCAGCUAUGGCACGACCAAGAUCUACAGCUGCUUGAACGAACUCUUUCUAUUUUCCAUAAUGAAAUCCAGAGAGCACACAAAUGUUUUUGAAUUGUCUACUCAAAGAUGUUGCCAUUAGAAUAAUCUUCAAAAACAAGUUGUGAGUGGUUUGGAAAAAGAGCUCUUAUUUAAAGAUCUAAGUGACAGACAAAAUGAGAAACAACUGUAAAUGGGUUGGUGUAUUUGUUAGAUGGUGCGUAAAGCUCAUGUCUCAAUUAUUCAAAAGCAAACAGUAAAAAGAAAAGCAAACAGUGAAAAAAAAAGUAAAAGAAAACAAAUAAUGAUUAAAUACAAAAUCACUCCAUUAAAUGCAAUAAUGCAAAUGAUAAAAGAACAAUGAAGUAAAAGGAUAUUUACUGGUAGUUGUGAUUGUGGCUCACAUCUUCUCUGGUUUUACGUCCAGUAACGGCUUGAACGCCCUCUAUGGGUUGAGGAUAGGCUUCCAAUUUAGUUUUCUUAUAAACUGGCAAAUAUGGUAUUUUUUAGUUAGAUUCCUAAGACUAAACUGUGCACAUUAUUUUUAGAAUAGUCUCUAUAACCUGUGUAUCUCAUAUUGCACAUGUCCGCUUCGAUGCGUCUCUAGAGAUCGUAAGAUAUCAUCCAACAAUUUUUUACUCAUGUCAUCUUUAACGAAUUUAAUUUUAUCUCCUCGAUUAUCAGAAACCAUUCCUAAAGAUUUACAAACUUCUAGUUUGCAACUAAGUCGUACACAAUUAUGACAUUCUGAGCCAAGUCUUCUAGCUCUCCGUUUUUUAGCAAAUGUGCUUUUACCAAAACCAGGCAUGUAAGAAAUAAAUGGAUCAGGAUGUUAACAUUUAUGUAUUCAUAAUGUUGAUUUUGAUGAUAACAAACAAAAUUAAGAAUGAUUAAGUUUUUAAAAGCUCAAAUUAUUUUUGUACAUUUUAAAUAAAUCAUUAUUUUCACAUUUUAAAGGUUUUAUAUUUAAUGGAAAAAUGAUUUUAUGAAAUUAGUUGUUUUUCAAGUUUAUGGUUUAAUUGAAAGAGUUUUGAAAACUUUGAAAUCAACAAGUAUUGUUUGAAAUUUUGGAGAAGGAUUUAUUUGAAAAGUAUUCAUAGCAUUUUGGGCCAUAUCAUAAUUGCAGAAAGUUUUGGGAAUGGUAAGCAUUAUUUAGAAAUUCUAAAAUUGGUCUAUUUGCAAAAUUUAUAACGUUUUGGGCCAUAAUAUAACUAUAUAAAGUUGAGAAAUUAUCAUUUGUAUACCCUUAGUUUACUCCAUUAUCAAAAAUACUACAACACUUUGAGGGUGUAUCAAUCGUCCACCCUAAGUUGACAAAAUGUAUCAGCUGACUACCAAACCGUUAGUUGCCGUUUAAGUAUGAUGACGUCAGAAGGGUAAUUUGGUCUUUUCAUAUGAUACAAGUGAUAAUUUAAGGGUAUACAAGUGAUAAAAAGAGAAUUUAAGGGUAUACAAGUGAUAAUUUUCAAGGGUAAAAUUGUCAAUUCACUGUAACUCCGUUAACUUUCAAACAACAACUAACGGUUUGGUGGUCGGCUGAUACAUUUUGUCAACUAAGAGUGGACGAUUGAUACACCCUCAAAGUAUUGUAGUAUUUUUUAUAAUAGAGCAAAUAUAGGGUAUAUGAAUGAUAAUUUCCCUAUAAAGUUUUGGGGUCAAACUGUUAUUUUAUAAAAUAGUUCACUGUAGCAGUUACUGUAGAAACGGCGAUCCGACAUCUUGAUAACGGCUCGCCGACAUCGAACAGAACUGAAGAUUAGCCUCUGGACACUAACGGCAAUCUGACAUCUAGAUAACGGCUAACCGACAUUGUACAGAAUUGAAAUAUUAGCCUCUGGACACUAACGACGAUCCGACAUCUAUUAAAACGAUGAUCCGACAAUUUGAAAAUUCAGCCCAACGGUCAUAUUGACCAGUCAAACGGUGAUCCGACAUCUAGUUAACGGCGAUCCGACAGUGAGCAGAAAGUCAAUAACAACUAGUUUUUAGCUCCAACUAUAAAUAAGCUCAUUCAAAUCCAAAUAUGAAUAAUUCCAACGAUCAUCAUUGAGCAAAAUAUAGAGAAUACAACUUUUAUUGAGCUUUAAAUCCUUGUAUUCAUCUCAUUCAUUCACACAUUGAGCUUUCAUUUGUGAUCAAACACAUUGUGUGAGAGAAAUUCAUUUGUAAUCCUUUUUGUAAAAUCAAGUUAAAAGAUUGUAAGUGUUGUGAUACACUUAGGUUAAGAGAUUGGGGAUAAUCUCUUAUUGUGAAGGUCUAUUGACACCUUGGAAGUCAAUUGUAAACAUUUGAAGCCUUGGAGGCUUGCUUAGUGAAAUCCUCAAGCCCGGUGAGCUUGGAAACGUGGACGUAGGCGGGGAUUGCCAAACCACGUAAAAAUCAUUGUGUUAGCUCUCUCUUCCCUUACUCCUUUAUUAUUAUGCUGUAUUGAAUUUAUUGUUUUUCAUUCCAUUAAGGCAUUAGAUUAAAUUGUUGUGUAAUUUGCUUAGCUUAAUUUUUAAAAUCUCAAUUCACCCCCUCCCCUCUUGGGUUGCAUAACUAGAAUUUCACAGGAAACUCACCAGCUAAUCGGACCUUUACUUCAAUUAACCAACAAAUAUCAGAAGGAAUUCUAUUGAUCAUUAACAAACCCAACCUUUCACAACGAGCUUUGUAAAUUUUUUUGAGUGCAUUUUGAGGGAGAGAAGGAAAACGCUUUUGCAAUUUAUGUUGUAUUUCUUCCAUGCAUGAUUUUGAGAUUUCAGUUUUUGUGGGAAACUAAGGAUACCGACUUAAAAAGUCAUAGAGUACCGUUAUCCACCAUUUAUACGGGAAAAUAAAUCAAAACACACUAAAAUCAAAUCUACAAAAUCAAAUCAAACGUGAAAGCGAAUAACAAAAAAGAAACACAAUAUGUACAAAGGAAAAUGAGCUUACAUUCUUCCUCUCAUUGAGUUAACCUCAAGCUCCAAUGGAAAUUCAUAUAUACCACGCUCUAUUGCUUUGAGUUGUCUUUCUUGAUCCUUAACGUAGACCACUAAUUCUGGUGGUUGUCGUUCCCAAAUUGGAUGUGAUUUACAGCUUUGUAUCAAUCUUCUCAAGUGAAAUCUUAUUCGCAAAAGUCUUUUAAGAUGUGUGAACAGAAUCUUCCUUAUUGAGGUACUCAUGAUGUAUAAUGAUGAAUAAAACACAAUUAUUAAACACACUUAAGUAAGAAAUAUCACAACACGUAUCAUUUAAGACAGUCAAACAAUUCAAACGGUAAAACAACAGUGAAAAGUUAAAAUACUCAUUAAAAACUUAAUCAAGAUUUUGUGGGUCACUCAAAUUUAUUUCAGUGCAUGGCUCACGUGAUUGGUAUUCCAGAUAUGGCUUUAUUCUUUGUUCGUUAACUUUAAAUGUAACACUAUUUUUUGGAUUCUCAAUUUGUACAGCCCCAUGUGGAUAUACAUUUUUUUACAAUAAAUGGGCCACUCCACUUUGACUUUAGCUUUCCUGGAAACAAAUGAAGACGAGAAUUAUAAAGCAACACUUUUUGACCAAUUUCAAAUGUUUUUUGAAAAAUUCUUUUAUCAUGAAAAAGUUUUGUUCUUACCUUAAUAAUUCUUGAAUUUUCAUAUGCAUCAUUUCUUAAUUCCUCAAGUUCAUUCAAUUGCAAUUUUCGCACAUUACCAGCAUCAUCCAAAUUUGAAUUAAAAGCUUUAACAGCUCAAAAUGAUUUAUGCUCAAGUUCAACAGGUAAGUGACAAGGUUUACCAUAUACUAGCCGAUAAGGUGACAUUCCUAAAGAUGUUUUAACAAUACGGUAUGCCCAAAGUGCAUCAGUCAAUCGAAGAGACCAAUCUUUGCGGUUUGGGUUAAUUAUUUUUUCUAAAAUUUUUUUUAUCUCCCUAUUUGCUAAUUCAACUUGACCAUUUGUUUGAGGAUGAUAAGGGGUAGCAAUUUUAUGUGUAAUUCCAUAUUUUUUCAUUAAAGACUCAAAUGACUUAUUACAAAAAUGCCUACCUCCAUCACUAAUAAUGGCUCGAGGGAUUCCAAAUCGACUUAAAAUGUUUUCUCUUAAAAAUUUAACGACAGUUUUACUAUCAUUAUUUCGACAAGACAUUGCUUCAAUCCAUUUUGAGACAUAAUCAAUUGCAACUAAUAUGUACACAAAUCCAAAAGAUGGUGGAAAUGGACCCAUGAAAUCAAUUCCCCAACAGUCAAAUAUUUUAAUCUCAAGUAUGGGAUUUAAGGGCAUUGUUGUGCAAAUUUUAAUGUACUCGCAAGCGCACGAAUCUAUUGUAGUAUAGAUCUAUGGUGACGAGUGUCGAUCCCACGAGGAGGUGGAUUUUAAUUGUGUAUAGAAUUAAUUUUGUAAAUGGGUUGUUGGAUUUAUGGUGGAAAUGAUUUGGAAUAUGCUAAGACUUAAAUUAAAAUGGCGAGAAUAAAUUCUAAAAUUGGAAUUGCAAUUGAGAGAAUAAAUUGAAGAGAAAAUCUAUUAAAUUGACGUACUUGGGUAUCUGGAUCCGUAUCAACAUGCAUCAUGGGCUAAAUAAUUCGUAUUAAUGCCAAUUAAAUCAUGAGGGGGGAAUCCACACCUCAUGAACCACGCUCUAAUCAAUAUGGUGCUAAGGGCUUAUCGUGCCAAAUAAUAAUAACCUUGUACCAGAGGGCCGGUGAAACCAAGGCGGUACUAGACAAGAUUAGUAUUAUUUGUCGACGAGAAGUCAAAACAUCCACAAAAACUAGAGGGGAAGAGAAAAUAAAUUUACCAAAUAAAGCCCAUGACACAUGUUGAGACUUCACCUUCAACCCAAGCUUGAAAGAAAAUUAGCCACUCAUAAUUGAACUAGGGGCAAAAUGGGAAUUUAUUAAAAUACGAAGAAAAUACAAGAUGGAGAAGGAAUUAUAGAAAAUGGAUCCCAAAAAUAGAUUCAGAGAUAUCAGAUUAGGGGGGGGAGGCCCCCUUUUUAUAGAUACAUGGAGUAAAUCAUGGCCAUCGGAUUAAAAACAGUUUGGACGCUCAGGAUUGCGCCACGUCAUCAGUCAACAGUCCACGGUUUGACCACGCGGAUGAACAGUAACACGGUUUGACCCGACUUUGAACAGUAACGCGGUUUGACCCGGAUGAACAGUAACGCGGUUUGGUUGAAAAUAAUCCUGUGUGAUGCAUGCACCGUACGCGAGAUUUUUCGUCCACUGAUAUGCUGCCACGUCACCAUCAACAGUACAUAAGAAUUUUAGUCAAACAGGAUCGUGACACCUCAUCAGUCAAUGCCACAUCAUCGGUCAAUGCCACGUCAUCAUCCGUCUAUGUGAACAGUGUCGUGAACAGUAACGUAUACAGUACCGUACACGUGAAUAGUACCGUACAUGUGAAUAGUGCCAUUUUUCCUUUUAUGCUCCUCCUAAGGUUUUCGACCGUCCUGAGUUCAAAAGUGAUGUCCGUUUUGCCGUCUGAUCUCUCCUUUAUUGUGAAAUGACUAUAAUGCCCCUAAAAUACAUAAAAUACUUAAUUAAAAUAAAACACAUGUAAUUAAAUCACAAGAAGGUUAAAUAUAUAAAAGUAAGGGUUGUUAGUAAGACUUAAAAUGUAAAAUGACGGUUUUCUCCUUUAUAAAUAUGCAUUUUCUAACACUCAACACACCCCCCAACCAGCUUAUUGCUAGUCCCUAGCAAAUAAAGCGAAAACAAAAUUCAAAUUCAAAAUAAUUUUUUUUUUGUUUUAAUAGAAACACUCGUAUUUAUUCCAUCAGAUUAAUGAUAGCAAUCAAAUAAAAGUAUAAGCAUUAUCUCCAGUCUAAAGCAACAUCACACCCACAUCAACCAUCCACAUGAAUUAGCCCAGUAGACUUUGUUUUAGCUACUCUCAAGAAUGACAUGUCAAACCCCAAAAUCUCACUGGAAGUAGUGACACUCUCACAAAUAAAUUAAUCCCAAUAAAAAUAGUCACUCCAAUGAAUGGUAAUUGAGAGAGAAAAUAAUAAAGAAGUGAUAUCACAUGCUCUCACCAAGAUGAAAUAAAUAUGCCCUCAGCUUAGAAAUAAUACGAUCUCAAGUCAAAUAAAAUGUUAGUCAACCCACUUUAUUUAUCUUUUUUUUUUUUUUUUUAAUUAUGCAUCACUACAUCUUUUUAGCCCAUAUAACUAGCUUCUACUUCAAACUAUAGUUCCCUAAAAUCAAGAAGGACUUUUAUUAGGACGAAACGUAGGCUAGGGACAUGGCUAACAAAGAAGGAAAAUAAGGAAAACAAAGUGUAUGUUUGAGAAAAAUGCAGAGAAUUUUUUUUUUUUUUUUUCUGGAAGUUGCAAGGUGGAUUUCACCUAUUUUUAUUCUUUUGAAACAACAACUUUUGUUUUUGUUUUUGUUUUUUUUGUUUUUUUUUUUUUGCUUUUAUUUGGCAUAACUUCACUGAACAAAAUAAUUAUUUACAUUUUCUCAAACAUACAUAGGUGAUGGAACUUAUAAGAUAUCAGGUAAUACUCCAAAUCGGAGUGGGUCAAGAUGAUAAGUUGACAAAGAAAAUGUUUUUUUUUUUUAAAGGCUCAAAAGGGUUAACUAUGGAUAUUAAAUAAAAGGGAUGGCUUGAAAGGCUCAAACGGAUCAAAGAUGGCCUCUCCAUCGUCUUUUAGGGCUCUAAAUAAUUUUCCAUAUCUACUAGUUAGAUGGGCCUCCAAAUGUAGCAACACACUCUUUUUUUUCUUUUUUUUUUCUUUUUUUUUACCAUUUUUUUAAAGGGUUAACUCAAAAGAAAUGUAGAGAUCGUGUAUAAAAUAAUAAACUGCUAAGCUGUAUAGAGAAUGGGCAAAAGGGUUACUCUCCAAGAAAAUGAUAGGCUCAACAACUCACUUGGCACUUAUUUAUGACAUGUUCAUUCCUUCAAGCAACUCAUAUUUGUCUCCGACAUCAACAUGUAAAGUAGCAAACAUAGCGUAACAUCACUUAAGACCAAAGAUAAUACAAAUAAUAAAAUUUGAAAUUAAUCAUGUCAUCCAAUGUUAAAACAAAUAACACAAAUUUGUUUUUUUUAACAACAUUCUACCCCCCAACCUAUUCUAAACAUGAAAGAAAAAUAUGCAUGCAGGAAUGUGAAAAUGAUGUAGAAAAAUUUAUUAGAAAAAAAUUUUUUUUUUUUAACUAAGAAGAUGCGUUUCUAGAGGCACUACACUCCAUAUUCAGCCAUCUUUGACUCAAAAGUUGGAAAAUGUAUAUUUAUAGAGGAGAAAUUAAAGAAGAAAAAUAAACAUAAACACAUAAUAAAGAAAAAGAAAAUGUCUGAAAUUAAUUUUUUUUUUUGAAUUUUUUUUUGAAUUUGUUUUUAAACAAUGAAGAUGCGUUUCUAGAGUAACUACACUCCAUAUUCAGCCAUCUUCAACACAAAAAGUUAGCAACAGUUAGUUUCUACAACAAAAAAUUAGUAAAAACUUAACCAAAAUUCCACAAUUGUCGACUAUUCCCUCCCCCCAACCAGAACGAAACAUUGUCCUCAAUGUUUGAAAUGAAAGAAGUAGAGUUUAGAAGACAUCACCUGGGUGGUGCAACACAGAAGAAAAUAUUUACAGGCGGAGAGUUAAAUCUAAUUUGUACUUCUUACUGCGGCUACUGUUACCAUCAUUAUUUGGACGCUCCAACACAAAGGUCCAGGGGUCUGGCUCCGGUCGAUAAGCUUGUAACAUAUCAAGUAGCUCAUUAGCAGUGUGAGCACAAAUAAAGAGUUUUUUCGCAUUAGAGGGAAUGAAAUAGUUUUUUAUUGCAUGGUUAAGAAAUGCGAUAAAGCCAUCAUAAAAGUUAUUGACAUUUAACAAACCGAUGGGUUUCUGGUGAAUGUGUAGAUGGGCCCAAGAUGCUAGUGUCAUAAGUGCCUCUAGUGUUGCAAGAUCUCCUGGAAGGAAAAUAAAAGCAUCAGCAUAAUUAAGCAUUUCNNNNNNNNNNNNNNNNNNNNNNNNNNNNNNNNNNNNNNNNNNNNNNNNNNNNNNNNNNNNNNNNNNNNNNNNNNNNNNNNNNNNNNNNNNNNNNNNNNNNNNNNNNNNNNNNNNNNNNNNNNNNNNNNNNNNNNNNNNNNNNNNNNNNNNNNNNNNNNNNNNNNNNNNNNNNNNNNNNNNNNNNNNNNNNNNNNNNNNNNNNNNNNNNNNNNNNNNNNNNNNNNNNNNNNNNNNNNNNNNNNNNGAAAUAAAAGCAUCAGCAUAUAGCAUUCAGUAUUCUUUCUUGCAUACUGAGACGACUAACUCUCUCCAGUUGAUGAGUCAGACGAACUGCCCAAUGUUAGGACUCUGGGAUGAUGCCUAAAACACUUGACUUCCUCUGAUAAAAGCUGCUUCGGAGACCAUUUUUGAUACCCUCGGUUACCUCCUCCAUACACCAAAUGUAAAUUUCUCGCUGCUAUGCUUCGACCAAGAUCUAUGGCUGCCUCAACGAACUCUUUAUGUUUGCCAUAGGUAAAUCCAGAAAGCACACAAAUGUUCUUGAAUUGUCUAUUGGGAGUAGCUGCCAUUGGAAUAUUUCUCAAAAACAAUUUGUGAGUGUUUGACAAAAGAAAUCACAUUUAAGAGUCUUGGUGAUAGUGGGUCACAGCUGUGAAUGAGGUAACAUGUUAGUGUCAAAUAACGCAUGAAGCACAUGGCUCGCGAGUCAAAAAGAAAACAGUAAAAAGGAAAAAGCAAACAGUAAUAAAAUUAUUAAAGACAAUAAUGCAAACAAUAAAACAACAGUGAAAUGAAAUAAAAUAACAGUAAAGUAAAAGGAUAUUUACACGUAGUUGCGACUGUGGCUCACAUCUUCCUCUGGUUUUACGUCCAGAAACGGCUUGAACGCCCUCUAUGGGUCGAGGAUAGGCUUCCUAUCCAGUUUUCUUAUAAACUGGCAAACAGGGUCGUUUAUAGUCAGAUUCCCGAGACUAUAUCGUGCAUGCUCUUUCUGGAAUAAUGGCCAUAACUGGAGAAUCGCUCCUUGCACAUAUCCACUGGGAUGCGUUUCAAGAGACAAAAGGAUAUCAUCCAAUGACUCCUUAUUCAAGCCAUCCCUAAUGAAUUGAAUCUUAUCUUCCCUGUUAUCAGACACCAUUCCUAAAGAACAUGGGUUUUUAUUGCAACUCAUUCUGGCACACUUAUGACAAGCAACAGAAAUUCUUCGAGCUCGUCGUUUUCUUGCAUAAUUUCCUUUACCACAACCAGGCAUGUAUGCAAUAAAUUUUGGAGGUAACUCACCUGCCGAUCGUACUUUAGCCUCGAUUAACCAACGGAUGUCAGCAGGUAUGUUAUUUCUCAUGAGUAAUCGCAUGCGUUCGGACCGAGCUUUAUAGAUCGUAAGGAGGGCAUUUUGAGGAAGUGAAGGGAAUCGCUUGUGAAGCUUCGUUAGAAUCUCGUUUCUGUCCAUACCUUCGCCUCAGAAUAUCAGUUAUUAUGGGAAACUGAAGUAACCGACUUGAUUGUCACGGAGUACCGUUAUCCGCCACUUCACCGGGGUAACAAACUAAAGCACACAAACAGAAAAACAAAUUAAAACACACAAAGAAAAUUAAAAUCGUCCUCUUAUUGAAUUUACCUCAAGCUCCAACUGGAUGUCGUAAACACUUCUCUCAAUGUCUCUGAGUUGGCUUUCUAAACCCUCAACAUAGGCUACUAACUCUGGUGGUUGUAGAGCCCAAAUGCGUUGUGUUUUACAAAAUUGAAUCUACCUUUUGAGAUGAGUUUUGACACGUUGAAGUGGUUUAAGAAUGUUCAGGAGGAACGGUCUAAGUAUGAGACUCAUGAUUAAAAAUGAUAAGAGAAAACUUAAUGGUAAAAUAAACACACUUAUGCAAAAACAAUUUCAAUUAGCAAAAGAAUAAUAAUAAAAAGAAAGAAAGAAAAAUCAAAUCAACGAAAAGAAAAAAAAAAUCAAUUCAAAUUUGGUGGGUCACUCAAAUUUAUUUCGAUGUCUUCUUCAUGUGGUUGGUACUCUAGAUAUGGCUUUAAUCUUUGACCAUUAACUUUAAACGUGACACCAUUCUUUGGGUCUUUAAUUUCAAUUGCCCCAUGUGGAAAAACAGUAUGAACAAUAAAUGGGCCAGACCAACGAGAGCGUAACUUACCUGGGAAUAGGUGCAAGCGAGAAUUGAAUAAAAGCACUUUCUGACCUGGAGUGAACGAUUUUCUCAUAAUUUGCUUAUCAUGGAAGACUUUCAUUCGUUGCUUGUAAAUCUUGGCAUUUUCGUACGCGUCAUUGCGAAUUUCUUCAAGUUCUGCCAGCUGUAAUCUUCUUUCUGAGUUGGCUUGCUGCAUGUCAAAAUUGAAUUUCUUGAUGGCCCAAUACGCACGAUGCUCGAGUUCCACAGGUAGGUGGCAAGCUUUUCCAUACACUAGCCUGUAGGGUGACAUCCCAAUCGGCGUCUUGAAAGCCGUUCUAUAUGCCCAUAAUGCAUCAUCAAGUCUUAAUGACCAAUCUUUCCUGUCUGGCCUCACCGUCUUUUCUAAUAUGUGCUUUAUUUCUCGAUUGGAGAUCUCAACUUGGCCACUGGUUUGCGGAUGAUACGGGGUCGCCACUUUGUGUGUGAUUGAAUACUUUGUCAAAAGUGCUUUGAAUGCUUUGUUACAAAAGUGGGCACCACCAUCACUGAUUAUUGCUCGAGGGAAUCCAAAGCGUGAAACAAUGUUGCUUUUCAAAAAUGCUAUCACCACCUUGUGAUCAUUGGUCCUACAUGGAAUUGCUUCUACCCAUUUUGAUACGUAGUCAACAGCAACCAAUAUGUAUUGAUGGCCAAAAGAAGGGGGAAAGGGUCCCAUGAAGUCGAUACCCCAUACGUCAAAAAUCUCAACCACUAAAAUUGGAUUUAGUGGCAUCAUGUUCCUUCGUGUAAUGCUUCCCAUUCGUUGACACCUAUCACAUGAAGAACAGAAAGUGUAAGCGUCUCGAAAUAUAGAUGGCCAAUAGAAACCACAUUGUAAAACUUUAGUCGCUGUCUUCUUAGCACUGAAAUGGCCUCCACAAGCUUGUUCAUGGCAGAAUGAAAGGAUAUUCUGAAUUUCACUUUCUGGGACACAUCGUCUAACAAUUUGAUCCGCACAAUACUUGAACAAAUACGGGUCAUCCCAAAAGAAAUUCUUUAUCUCUGCAAAGAAUUUAGCCUUGUCUUGCUUGGUCCAAUGCUCUGGAAGUUUACCUGUAACAAGAUAAUUAACUAUAUCAGCAUACCAAGGUAAUACUUCCACACUCAUUAAUUGUUCAUCUGGAAAUGACUCAUUUAAUGGUAAUUGUUCUAUAAUUGUGUCAAAAUGGAGACGAGAGAGAUGGUCCGCCACAACAUUUUCUGUCCCUUUCUUAUCUUUGAAUUCCAAGUCAAAUUCCUGCAAAAGUAACACCCAACGAAUUAGUCUGGCUUUUGCAUCUUUCUUUGUGAGAAGAUAUUUAAGAGCAGCAUGAUCUGUGAAUAUAAUUAUUUUACAACCAAUGAGAUAUGAUCGAAAUUUUUCCAAUGCAAACACUACUGCUAGCAUUUCUUUUUCAGUAGUUGAAUAGUUCAACUGUGCAUCAUUCAAUGUCAUACUAGCAUAGUAAAUAACAUGGGGAAUUCGAUCAACUCUUUGUCCUAAUACUGCUCCUACUGCAUAAUCAGAUGCAUCACACAUAAGCUCAAAUGGUAAGCUCCAGUUUGGGGCCUGAAUGAUGGGUGAUGAUGUCAACAACUGUUUUAAUUUUUCAAACGCCAUAAGACAUGAAUCAUUAAAGAUAAAAGGUACAUCCUUAGCAAGUAAAUUGCAUAAGGGUCUAGAAACUUUGCUAAAAUCUUUAAUGAAACGUCUAUAGAAACCAGCAUGCCCAAGGAAAGAUCUUACUUCUCUGACUGUUUUGGGUGGAGGAAGAUUAGAAAUGAGAUCCACCUUGGCUUUGUCAACCUCAAUACCUUUGCUCGAAAUGAUGUGACCGAGAACAAUACCUUGUUUUACCAUAAAAUGGCAUUUCUCCCAAUUUAAGACCAAGUUCUUCUCGAUACAUCUCUGCAGAACUAGUGUUAGAUGAUGUAAACAUUGAUCAAACGAGUCACCAAAGACAGAAAAGUCAUCCAUAAAGACUUCAAGGAAUCGUUCAACCAUAUCAGAAAAAAUGCUCAACAUGCAUCGUUGAAAUGUAGCAGGUGCAUUACAUAAUCCAAAUGGCAUUCUCCUAUAUGCAAAUGUGCCAAAAGGGCAAGUGAAAGUAGUUUUCUCCUGAUCUUUUGGUGCUAUGGGAAUCUGAUUAUAUCCUGAGUAACCAUCUAGAAAGCAAUAAAAUUCGUGGCCUGCUAAUCUAUCAAGCAUUUGAUCGAUAAAUGGUAAAGGAAAAUGAUCUUUACGUGUGACAGAAUUCAAUUUUCUAUAAUCAAUGCAUACACGCCAUCCUGUAGUUACUCUAGUUGGUAUCAAUUCAUUAUCGGCAUUCGUAACUACUGUGACUCCUGACUUUUUGGGGACAACUUGUACAGGACUGACCCAUGAACUAUCAGAAAUGGGGUAAAUGAUACCUGCAUCUAAUAGCUUAAGGACUUCAGUUCUAACCACUUCUUUCAUAUUAGGAUUUAACCGACGUUGCAUUUCCCUAGUAGAUUUAGCAUUUUCAUCAAGGUGAAUGUAAUGCAUGCAGUCUACUGGAUUUAUACCUUUGAUGUCUGCUAUGGUCCAUCUUAAUGCUCCUUUGUGCUCUUUUAAAACAUCCAACAACUUACCUUUUUGUUCAUCAUUUAGGGAUGAUGAGAUGAUUACCGGCAGAGUACUUUCUUCUCCCAAAAACGCAUAUUCCAUAGUGUUGGGCAAUGGUUUGAGCUCGAGUUUCGGUGGUGAUUCUGAUGAUGGAAUGAGUUGCUUCUCUGAUGGUGCUAGUUGCUCAACUCUUGACUUCCAUUUAUUAGUGUCCAUAGAUGGUGCUGAGUCAAGCAGGGCGUUGACCUCAUCAACCGAUCUGUCAAUAUCAAAAUCAAAACCAAAGUGAGUUAAACAUGUUUGUAAAGGAUCACCACUAAGGUUUGAAAGAAAAGUGUCAUCAACUAAUGUUUCAAUUAAAUCCACAUCAACAAUUCCAUCAUCUGCACUGUGAGGUUGUUUGGCAAUGUUGAAGAUGUUCAGCUCCAUAGUCAUGUUGCCGAAGGACAACUGCAUAUUUCCAGUUCUACAUUGAAUGUGAGCAUCUGCAGUUGCCAAGAAAGGUCGGCCUAGAAUAAUGGGGAUGUGCUUCCUUGAAUCCUGUAUUGGUUGAGUGUCAAUUACAAUGAAAUCAACAGGAAAAUAAAACUUGUCUACCUGGAUAAGCACGUCCUCCACAAUACCACGAGGUAUUUUUGUGGACCGAUCUGCAAGUUGUAACACCACUGGAGUUGGGUGUAAUUCUCCCAGUCCAAGUUUCACAAACACAGAGUAAGGCAAUAAAUUUACACUAGCUCCUAAAUCCAACAAAGCAUUCUCAAUUGUGUGGUUCCCUAUACUACAUGAGAUAGUGGGGGAGCCUGGGUCUUUGCAUUUUAAAGGAAUUUUAUGUUGGAGUAUAGAACUAACGUUUUCUGUUAAAAAUGCCUUCUUUUGGACAUGCAUAUUUCUCUUUUUAGUACAAAGAUCUUUAAGAAACUUGGCAUAAGAUGGAACUUGCUUUAUAGCAUCAAGUAAAGGAAUGUUAACACUUACCUGUUUGAAGAUUUCGAGAAUCUCACCUGUAGAUUUUCCCUUUUUUCCUUUCGCUAACCUCUGAGGAAAUGGAGCUUUGGGAAUGUAUUCUCGUGGGUUGGCUUCUUCUCUCUCCUCCGGUGGUGAGUCCUCAACGUUCACAGGUACAAUUUGAGUUUCCUUUGUCACCGGCAUCUCCACUUUGUUGUCGAUUUCUUUUCCUUUUCGCAAGGUCAUUAUUGCUUUGACCUCUCCAUGCUGCUGUGGUGAACUGGUACUCGCUUCAUGCACUCCUUUAGGAUUAGGCACUGGUUGACUUGGAAAUUUUCCUUUCUCAACAGUCAUUGCCAAGGUCUGAACUGAAGAAGCGAGUUGUCCCACCAUCUUCUCCAGGCUUGAAACUGAUUGAGCUUGUGAGUUGAAGCCUGCUCUCAACUCAUUUCGUAGUCCAUCAAUGGUGCGGUUCUGUUGCUCAAUCGUGGAGUGAGUAAGAUUCUUGAGAUUCUGGAAUGAAUCCUCCCAUGGUCUGGGUUGAGAGUAAUUCUGGUUUUGAUUGUAUGGUCUAAAUGGGGGCUGAGAGGCUUGAGGAUUUUGUGGAAUUGGUGGAGCUGGAGCUAUUGGUCCAUUCUGUUGGAAUCCUUGAGACCAUGAAAAAUUGGGGUGGUCUCUCCAUCCAGGGUUAUAUGUGUUGGAGUAUGGGUUGUAAUUUGAUGGCUUUCUCAUUACACCUAUGGCAUUGGCUUGAUCUGAGUAUGAGUCAUGGUCAUGUGGCUCUGUUGAUUUAGCAGUCGAUAAUGAUGCUAUUUGUCGAGAGAGACCUUCAAUUAUCGCUUUGACUUCUUUAAUUUCUGAACUUGAUUCGCCAAUUUGAACCUCAUUCACUCCUUUAAUUCUUCUAGUAGUCCUGAGUGAUCGACUCCGUUGUUGGGAAUUAUCUGCUUGUCGCUGGAAGAAUUCCCAAAUCUCUGAUGCACUUUUUGACAUUAGCUCUCCUCCACUCGUUGCCAUUAGCCAUUCUUGCACAUUCGGCAAUAAUCCUUCCAAAAAGUAUUGGCAUUGGUGCCAUUUCUCGUACCCAUGAUGUGGACACUUCAAGAGUAGCCCAUUGAAUCGCUCCCAUGUUUCGAAAAAUUGCUCGUCCUCUCUCUGGGUAAACUCCGAGAUUUCCCUGCGAAUAGCAUUGGUUUUAUGUACUGGGAAAUAUUUAUUUAAAAAUUUUGUAACCAUUUGUUCCCAUGAUGCAAUGCUAUUAGCAGGCAAUGUAUUAAGCCAUGAACGAGCUCUAUCUUUUAAAGAAAAUGGGAAUAGUCUAAGUUUAACAUCAUCAUCUGAAAAAUUCUCAUAUUUGAAUGUUUGACAAAUGGCAUGAAAAUCAUUCAAAUGAUUAUAUGGAUCCUCAUUUUCUAGGCCAUAAAAUGUAGGGAGACAAUUUAACACACUAGGUUUUAAUUCAAAACUCCUAGCAGCUACAUUUGGGUAUCUUAUGCAUGACGUGCUCAAAUUAGCUAAGGGACUAAAAUAGUCCUUAAAUGGCCUCUCCUGUGGUGCUUGUAAAUCCAUUUUAUUUUUAACGUAUUUGUGUGUGCGAAGUGUUUUUUCUAAUUCAAGGUCUAUAGGUUCAAGAUUAGGUAAUAAUGACCUACGACCAUGCAUGCAAAAUAAAUAAAAUAAAAAUAAAGAUGCAAACAAAACAAAAAAUAAAGAUGGGAACAAAACAAAUAAAAAUAAAGAAGAGGGAGAAAUUACGAUACUAACCUUAUUGCGCUAUUACAACCUUUCUAUAAAAAUACACAAAAAUAAAUACGUGAAAGAAAUUAACUAAAAAUUAAAUUAAUAAGAUAAACAAAAAAAAUUACAAAGAAAAAUAAAUGGAAAAUUAAAUUACAAAAUUUUAAAGAAGAGAAAAAGAAAAGAAAUACUAACCUUUAAAUGUAGAUUCACUUUUUUUUUUUUUUUUUUUAAUAAUAAAAAAAAAAUACAAGAAAACAAAUAAAAGAAAUUAUUCACAAAAAUUAAUUCUAUGAAUUAAAAUUACUUACCUCCCCGGCAACGGCGCCAAAAACUUGUUGUGCAAAUUUUAAUGUACUCGCAAGCGCACGAAUCUAUUGUAGUAUAGACUAAUGGUGAUGAGUGUCGAUCCCACGAGGAGGUGGAUUUUAAUUAUAUAUAGAAUUAAUUUUGUAAAUGGGUAGUUGGAUUUAUGGUGGAAAUGAUUUGGAAUAUGCUAAUACUUAAAUUAAAAUGGCGAGAAUAAAUUCUAAAAUUGGAAUUGCAAUGGAGAGAAUAAAUUGAAGAGAAAAUCUAUUAAAUUGACGUACUUGGGUAUCUGGAUCCGUAUCAACAUGCAUCAUGGGCUAAAUAAUCCGUAUUAAUGCCAAUUAAAUCAUGAGGGGGGAAUCCACACCUCAUGAACCACGCUCUAAUCAAUAUGGUGCUAAGGGCUUAUCGUGCCAAAUAAUAAUAACCUUGUACCAGAGGGCCGGUGAAACCAAGGCGGUACUAGACAAGAUUAGUAUUAUUUGUCGACGAGAAGUCAAAACAUCCACAAAAACUAGAGGGGAAGAGAAAAUAAAUUUACCAAAUAAAGCCCAUGACACAUGUUGAGACUUCACCUUCAACCCAAGCUUGAAAGAAAAUUAGCCACUCAUAAUUGAACUAGGGGCAAAAUGGGAAUUUAUUAAAAUACGAAGAAAAUACAAGAUGGAGAAGGAAUUAUAGAAAAUGGAUCCCAAAAAUGGAUUCAGAGAUAUCAGAUUAGGGGGGGGGAGGCCCCCUUUUUAUAGAUACAUGGAGUAAAUCAUGGCCAUCGGAUUAAAAACAGUUUGGACGCUCAGGAUUGCGCCACGUCAUCAGUCAACAGUCCACGGUUUGACCACGCGGAUGAACAGUAACACGGUUUGACCCGACUUUGAACAGUAACGCGGUUUGACCCGGAUGAACAGUAACGCGGUUUGGUUGAAAAUAAUCCUGUGUAAUGCAUGCACCGUACGCGAGAUUUUUCGUCCACUGAUAUGCUGCCACGUCACCAUCAACAGUACAUAAGAAUUUUAGUCCAACAGGAUCGUGACACCUCAUCAGUCAAUGCCACAUCAUCGGUCAAUGCCACGUCAUCAUCCGUCUGUGUGAACAGUGUCGUGAACAGUAACGUAUACAGUACCGUACACGUGAAUAGUACCGUACAUGUGAAUAGUGCCAUUUUUCCUUUUAUGCUCCUCCUAAGGUUUUCGACCGUCCUGAGUUCAAAAGUGAUGUCCGUUUUGCCGUCUGAUCUCUCCUUUAUUGUGAAAUGACUAUAAUGCCCCUAAAAUACAUAAAAUACUUAAUUAAAAUAAAACACAUGUAAUUAAAUCACAAGAAGGUUAAAUAUAUAAAAGUAAGGGUUGUUAGUAAGACUUAAAAUGUAAAAUGACGGUUUUCUCCUUUAUAAAUAUGCAUUUUCUAAUACUCAACAGUUACCCCGGUGAAGUGGCGGAUAACGGUACUCCGUGACAAUCAAGUCGGUUAUUUCAGUUUCCCAUAAUAACUUUGAAUAUGGUAGGCCAAUAAAAUCCACAUUGCAAAAUUUUAGCUGUAGUUUUUCUUGAAGAAAAGUGUCCACCGCAUGCGUCAGAAUGACAAAAAUUAUUGACACUACUUACCUCAUUAUCAGGAAUGCAUAGUUGAAAAAUCUGAUCAGGGCAAUAUUUGAACAAGUAAGGAUCAUCUCAAUAAAAUUUCUUUACUUCAACCAAAUUUUUUUUCUUCUCUUGAGUAUUCCAUUGCAAAGGAAUUUUACCUGUAAUAAGGAAAUUAACAAUGUUAACAUACCAUGGUAUUGAAGUAACAGAUAAUAAAAAUUCAUCAGGAAAUGAAUCAUUGAUGGGUGUUAUAUCAGUGCAGAUUUCAUAUGUGAGUCUUGAUAAAUGAUCAACAACGACAUUUUUGGCACCCUUUUUAUCUUUGAUGGUGAGGUCAAAUUCUUGAAGUAACAAAAUCUAACGAAUUAGUCUUGGUUUGGCAUCCUGUUUAGUCAUCAAAUAUCUCACAGCAGAGUGAUCAGUUAAAACAACGGUUUUAGAACUAAGCAAAUAUGAGCGAAAUUGUUUAAUGCAUACACCACAACAAGUAAUUCUUUUUCAGUUGUAGAAUAAUUCAUUUGAGUACUAUCCAAAGUCUUACUCGCAUAAUGAAUCACAAACGACUUACGAUCUUUUUUUUGUCCUAAAACAGCACCAACAAAAAAGUCACUUGCAUCACACAUUAAUUCAAAAGGCAAAGACCAAUCAAGAGAUUACAUAAUAGGUGCAAAUGUCAAAAGGCAAAUUAUUUUCUCAAAAGAUUUUUGGCAAUCAUCAGUCCAUUCAAAUGGUGCAUCUUUUAAUAAGUGGUUACGAAGUGGUUUAGAUAUGACACAAAAGUUUUUUAUAAACCUCCUAUAAAAUUCUGCAUGUCCUAAAAAAGAUCGCACAUCUCUAAUUGUUUUUGGUUGUGGCAAUUUAGAUAUGACUUCAAUUUUUGCUUUGUCAACGUCAAUUCCAUUAAUAGAUAUAACAUGACCCAAAACAAUUCCAGAAGUAACCAUGUAAUGGCAUUUUUCCCAAUUUGAAACGAGUUCUUUUUCAACACAUCUUUUUAAAAUGUUUUCCAAAUUAUCAAGGCAAUCAUCAAAAGAAUUCUUAAACAUAGUCAAAUCAUCCAUAAAGACCUUUAAACAAUGUUCAAUCAUAUCAGUGAAAAUACUUAGCAUGCAUCUUUGAAAUAUUGCAGGAGCAUUACAAAGUUCAAACAACAUUCUUUUAAAUGCAAAUGUUCCAAAAGGACAUGUAAAUGUGGUUUUUUUUUUUUUUUUGUCUUCAAGUGCUAUAGGAAUUUGAUAAUAACCUGAAUAUCCAUCUAAAAAGCAGUAGUAUGAAUGUUCAACUACUCUUUCUAAGAUUUGGUCAAGAAAUGGUAAUGGAAAAUGAUCUUUUCUAGUGGCUUCAUUUAAUUUCCUAUAAUCAAUGCACAUGCGCCAACUAAACGUAAUUCGUGUUGGAAUUAAUUCAUCUUUUUCAUUUUUAACUACAGUGAUUCCAGAUUUUUUAGGCACUACUUGUGUAGGACUUACCCACUUACUAUCAGAGAUAGGGUAGAUAAUUCUUGCAUCAAAUAACUUAAGAACUUCUGUUUUUACUGCUUCUUUCAUGUGUGGGUUUAAUCUUCUUUAAGGUUGUUGACAUGUUUUAGCAUUUUCUUCCAAAUUGAUUCUAUGUGUGCAAAUUAAAGGAUUAAUACCUUUAAUGUCAUUUAAAGUCCAUCCAAUUAUGUUUUUAUUCUUUUUAAGAAUAGAUAGUAACUUACCUUCUUAGUCGCUUGAUAAGGUUGAAGAAAUCACAACAGGAUAAGUUUGCUCUUCUCCAAGAUAAGCAUACUUCAAUCCCUCUGGCAAAGGUUUCAAUUCCAAUUUAGGUGCUUCUUGUUGUUCAGUCUUUUCAAUGAUUCCAAGCUCCUCAAAUUUUGGUUUCCCAUCAUCACUUUGUAAAGUCUGACAAGAAUCAAACAACAAAUUUAUAUUAGAAGUAUCAUGUUCAAGUUGUUUAUUUGAUUCAAUCGAAUUAACCAAACAAAUAUCACUAAGUUCAGAAAAACUCCAUUUUUCAAUAUUCUCCUCUAUACAAGAUUCAAGCAAUUCCUUUUGUUCAUCAAUUUCAUCUUCAUUCUCAUUUUCCUCAUUAGGUUGCCUACACAUAUUAAAAACAUUCAAUUCCAGAGUCAUAUUUCCAAAUGAAAAAUUCAUUAAACCAUUUCUAUAAUUAAUCAAAGCAUUAACAGUUGCUAAAAAUGGUCGACCCAAAAUUACAGGAAUUGGUUUAUAAUUAUUUACAACAGGUUCAGUUUCUAAAACAAUAAAAUCCACAGUGUAUAUGAAUUUAUCAACUUGUACUAAAACAUCUUCUACUAUUCCUUUUGGUAUUUUAACUGAUCUAUCGGCAAGCAAAAGUGUAGUUGAAGUUGAUUUUAACUCACCAAGACUAAGUUGAAGAUAAACUAAAUGUGGAAGCAAAUUAACACUAGUACCAAAGUCUAACAAAGCAUGCUCAAUUUUGUGAUCUCCAAUAAUACAAGAAAUAGUAGGACAACCAAGAUCUUUAUAUUUCAAUUUAUUAUUAGUAGACAGAAUGGUACUUACCUGUUCAACCAUGAAAGCACUCUUUUUAACCUUCAAUUUCCUCUUAACAAUGCAUAAGUCCUUUAAAAAUUUAGCAUAUGAAGGUACCUGCUUGAUUGUAUCAAAUAGAGGAAUGUUAACUUUCACUUGCUUAAAGAUUUCAUAAAUUUAAGAAGAGUGGUUUGAUUUCCUUGGUUUAUUCAAUGCAUGUAGAAAUGGUGGUUCAGAUGGAACAUUAGUUAUUUCUUCACUAGGUGUAAGUUUAUCUAGUUCUUCCUUACCCUUUGAAUUUUCAUUUUCACAAGGUUCAGGAAUAGGCCGAUCAAUAACCUUACCACUACAAAGAGUUAUAACUGACUUAACUUGGUCCAUGAGUGCAUUUUGAAUUUUAGGAUUUGGUUGUAGUUGAGCUGGAAAUUUUUCUUUUUCUUGAAUUGUGAGUGCAGAAGCAAUUUUAGCAAGAGCAUCUUUCAAAUCAAAAAAGGUUUGUCCAUUUUGAUUGUUAAUAAUAUCUUGCUUCCUAAUGAAUGAAUGCAUUGUAUCUUCCAAUUUUUUCCAUAGUUGUGGAACAUAUGGUACAAAAGGCUGAGUAUUUUGAAAAUUUUGUGGAGGUGGUGCUUGUGAAGAUUGUGCAUUAUUAUUAUUCCUCUAACUAAAAUUUCGAUGAUUUCUCCAACCAGGAUUAUAAGUUUGUGAAUAUGGGUUUGGCUUGUUAAAAGUGUUGAUGGCAUUAGCUUGAUCAUGCAAACAUUCUUUUAGUGCAGGCAGAGUGUGACAAUCUUGAGUAAAAUGAUCGUUAGAACUACAAACAUCACAUGCAAUUUCUUGAACAUAUUUUACUUGAUCACUUUUUUUAUUUUCCAAAGCUUCAACCUUCCUAACUAGGGAUGCAAAUUUUGCUUGUAAAUCAUGAUCUUCCCUAAGGUUGUAGAUUCCUCUACUAGAUGGAGAUGGUUGUGGUUUAUUAGUCAAUUCAAAAGUUCCAACAGUAUCCCAAUGUUGUGCAUUUUUAGCUAAUUGGUCGAGAUAAUCUAGUGCAUCUUCAGGAUUUUUAUCUUUAAAUUCACCAUUACACAUCAUUUCUACAACUUGUCUAGUUUGUGGUAUUAAGUCCUCGUAGAAAUAAGUGACCAAUCGCCAAGUUUUAAAACCAUGGUGUGGACAUAUGUUAAACAAUUCUUUAAACCUAUCCCAACAUUGGUAUAAUGUUUCUCCAUUUUUUUAAGUAAAAGAAGUGAUUUGCCUUUUAAAAGAAUUUGUUCUAUGAAGUGGAAAGAAUUUUUUCAAAAACUGUUCUUGCAUGUUAUUCCAAGUUCUUAUUGAUCCAGAUCUAAGGUUUUGUAGCCAAGUUUUAACUUUAUCUUUUAAUGCAAAAGUAAAAAGUUUUAAUCUAAUUAUGUUCAUGUUACAAUUUUGGUCUGUGUAUGUAUUACAAACUUCCUCGAAAUCUCUUAGAUGCAAAUAUAGAUUUUUAGAUUCUAAACCAUGAAAUGUUGGUAAAAGUUAGAUAAUACCUUGUUUGAAGUUAAAUCGAGAUGCUUCUGGAGGAAAUGCUAUACACGACGGUGCUCCGGUUCUUGUUGGAUUCAUGUAGUCUCUCAAAGUUCUCGGUUGAUUGUGAUCAUGUUAAGAUUGGUUGUCUCCUUGAUCAAUUGGAGGAUUAAGUUGGCCUAAAUUGUUUUCGUCUUGGAUCUCGUCCAUGAUUGGUGGUGGUGAUUGAGAUCUAUGAAUUAACCUGCCACUUGAAGUGCGAGAUCAACGUCUCAUACAAUAAUUAUAUCACAAAGAUAACAAACAAAUUAGUAACACAAAAACUAAAUGAAAAUUGUAAAAAGAAAAAAAUGAAAAUUAAAUAUGCUAAUAAUAUAAGUGUGCAAAAGAAAAUUAAUAACUUAAAAUUAAAUAACAAUUUUGGUGGUUGAACCCACCAAUUAAAUUAACAAAAAAAAAGCAAAAUAAUAAAAUAACUUAAAAUUAAAUAACAACUUUGGUGGUUGAACCCACCAAUAAAAAGAAAUAAAAAAACUAAAAAUUAAAUAACUUAAAUAAAAAAAUUAGUAGUUAGUUUGUUAAAAAAUUAGUAGUUAGUUAAAAAAAUUAGUAGUUAGUUUGCUUGGUCCAAAUUAAGUCCAAGUCUAAUUAUUGUGAGAAAUUGCGUCUAGGGAUCUUAUUGCAAAUUAUUGAUAAUUUUAUAGCCACACCGGAAAUUUUAGAAGUUUAAAACUGAACCAUGUGGGAUAAAAGUGAAGAUUUGGAAAGAUUUUAGGGUCAGAACGUAAUUAUGAGAAGAAUGAGCAAGAAACGAGAAUUGUUGGGGUGAAACUAGAAUUAUGAAAGAUGUGGGGGUAGAAGAGAAUUUAAGAAAAGGAAAAGGGGGCAAACGAAAAUUUACACAAAAGUAACUAAAAUAAAAGGAAAAAUAAAACAAAAUAAAUACCUCUCCCUGGCAACGGUGCCAAAAACUUAACACGACUUAAAAUGUAUUUGAUUUUCUCUCAAGUAUAAGAGUGCCUAGUUAUAAUAUAUCUUAGUGAGUCCGAGGUCGAUUCGCAGAGAAAUGAUUUAAUUUGUUUAUUUUAUUUUAUCUAAAAUUUGAAAAUAAAACUUAAAUAUAAACAACUUAAUUUAAAUAAAACUAUGAAAUUGAAUUAGUUAGGAUUGUGGAUUCACUCUUAGUUGUAAAUAAAACUUAAUAAAUUCUUUUUGCCUUUUUUUAGAUUUAUUGCCCAAAAGAUUAAUUAUAUAAAUUAUUAUUAUUUUCCCUUUCAUUUUAUGAUGGAUUAAGUAUUCAUUGUGCCAAAAUUUAAUUUUUCUACAAUAAGUCAAAAUACCAUUUUACCAUACCGUAUAUUAAGAUAAAAAGAAUUUAUUGUGCCAAACUCCCUUAUUUGUUUACAAUAAAUCAAAAUUUCAUAAUAUAAAAUAUGUAUAAAAUUAAAUAGAAAAUAACUUAAUUUAUAAAAUUAAAAAUUGAAUUUGAUUAAAUCAUAUUUAUUUCCUAAGAGUUUCACAUUCCCCUAACUAUUAAUAUUUAGCUAAGCAUUUUUUUUAAUAAAGGAAAUUACUAAAAUUGAAAAACACAUAAUUAAAAAUGGAAUUUGAAAAUUGAAAUAAAACUAAUUUUAUUGAUUGAAAACAAAUUACAAAGAGAGAUGAGAAGAAGAAUUUGGGGGGAAAGAAGAGAAGAAAAGGUGUGGAGGGGUGUGUCCACCCAANNNNNNNNNNNNNNNNNNNNNNNNNNNNNNNNNNNNNNNNNNNNNNNNNNNNNNNNNNNNNNNNNNNNNNNNNNNNNNNNNNNNNNNNNNNNNNNNNNNNCAUUUGUCCCACUAAUAAAACAUAAACAUAAUUUAUCACUCAAGUAUAUCCAACACAUUCCACUAACAAAUUACCAUACCUAAUAUGGUAAAAACUUAUAAUUUUACAAAUUACUACAUUUACCGUGGUAAAAACGUAAAAAUUACAACAAAAGUCUUGUAUUCUCCUCGACAAUGACAUAAUUUCUCGGACUUUCGGAAUCCAAAUUUAACAUCCAUACAUUUGUUCAGAGCCUCAAAUUGUAUGAAAUUAUUAUUUUUACCUAAUAAACACACAAAAAUACACAAAAUUAAAUAUUUAGAAAAAUAAUUAGAAAUUCAUAAUGAGUUACACAAUUACAAAUAUAAAUUACAUUAAUAGCACAAAAUAACAUUUUUAUCCCUUAAUAAACAUACAAUUUUUGACACUAAUCACAUAGCAUAAAAUUAUCUCAAUGAUUGAACUGGUAUCCCUAUCGUUGAUCUUUCUUGAAACUUUGAACAACUAAUAUUUCAUCUUCUUUCCGCAUUUUCUAGAAGAUGAAAUUUGUACAAAUGAAGAGCCUCAAAGCCUCUCAAGAUUUCACCAAAUCUCUCUCAAUAUGCUCGCCAAUUAACUUUAUUUUUACAACUAGAACUUCUUCAAGCACAACCUUCUUAGCUUUAAUGUAAAUAGGCAUAACCAAUAUCAAUUAUUGGUUUUGACAUGUCUUCAACUUGAAUUGGCUGCAAAAACUCAAUUAUACUAUUAGGCUCAAUGCACAAUUUAAGAGUAGAAGUCACCUUUUCUUUUACAAUUGCAAACAUGUCUUCAAUUACUUCCUCUUGGGCAUUUGAAAUCUCAUGCACAUCUUCAAUCUCCUUGUUAGAAACAUCUCUAAGGCUAUUAUCAAGCUAAUUUACCCAAGUUUGCUUUGAACUCCUUCCAAAGAUGACAUUCAAUUUGUGUAGCCAAUUAAGGAGAUAGCACAAUCUAAGGUGUAGGUAGGGUACGAAGGCAUUCUGUUAUGUCAACAUAAAAACCCUCUAAAAUCUCACAACUAAUAACUCUUCAAUCGCGUCAAAAUAUGAAAGCCAGUAAAGUCUUUCAAACUAAUCAGCAUAUCAUAAAUAGAUCUCAUAUCUCGAUGAGUCAAACAAUAAUCAAGAGGAAUGAAUCUUGAUCUCAACAUUCUCUUCAAACAACUCCAUGAUCGAAUUUUGUAUCUUCCUUCGAGUAUCUCCAAAAGCCUUUAUAAAUUUUACUCUUUAAAUAUCUAUUUGUUUACCUAUGUGGCAAAUAGAAGAGUAAAAAAAUAUAUUAUUCUCCAAAAGACUCUUCAAAUAUAAAUAAGUUAAUAUUAGUUUAAUCAAAUAAUUAUUUUUUAAAAAGAAAAGUCAAU
rnacentral:lncRNA from 1 species